AACAAACGCUGGCGGCGUGCCUAACACAUGCAAGUCGUACGAGAAAGGGUCCUUCGGGGCCUGAGUAAAGUGGCGCACGGGUGAGUAACGCGUGGAUAAUCUGCCCUUCAGUUGGGAAUAACUCAUCGAAAGGUGGGCUAAUACCGAAUAAUGCUGUGAGACCUCGGUUGAUCAGCCAAAGAGAGCCUCUGCUUGCAAGCCCUCGCUGAAGGAUGAGUCCGCGUACCAUUAGCUAGUUGGUAGGGUAAUGGCCUACCAAAGCGACGAUGGUUAGCGGGUCUGAGAGGAUGAUCAGCCACACUGGAACUGAAACACGGUCCAGACUCCUACGGGAGGCAGCAGUGAGGAAUCUUGCGCAAUGGGGGCAACCCUGACGCAGCAACGCCGCGUGAGUGAGGAAGGUCUUCGGAUCGUAAAGCUCUGUCGGAUGGAAAGAACCGCAUAGGGGUAAACAGCCCCUGUGUCUGACGGUACCAUCAAAGGAAGCACCGGCUAACUCCGUGCCAGCCGCCGCCGUAACAC
rnacentral:rRNA from 1 species